UUUUCCGAGAUGAGCUUAGCCUCCUAUUACGCCAUCUUUUAAUUUUAACAAUUAAAUCUUCUAAAUUUCAUCAAAUUUUAACAAUUAAAUCUUCUAAUUAAUCUGUUAAAAAAUAGCAUUCUUACCCAUCUAUAAAAGAAUCCAAAAAGGAAUAAAGGAAUAUUCCCUAUAUUUUUUACGACCAGGUAUGAUCACUUAAUUAAAAAAAUCUCAAAUAAGAAUGAACGAUUAUGAUUAAUUUGUUAAAAAUAGCAUUCUUAUCCAUCUAUAAAUCCAAUCUUACGAACGGUUGUGUCAAUUAAAAAUGAACGGUUCACUUAAUUAAAAUAAUUUCAAAUAAGAACGAACAGUUAUGAUCAAUCUGUUUAAAAAUAGCAUUCUUAUCCAUCUAUAAAUCCAAUCCUACGAACGGUUGUGUCAAUUAAAAAUGAACGGUUCACUUAAUUAAAAUAAUUUCAAAUAAGAACGAACGGUUAUGAUUAAUCUGUUAAAAAAUAGUAUUCUUAUCCAAAAAUUUUAAUUAUAGUGGAUAAAAAUUAAAUUUUAAAUUUUGAAUUAAAUAUGAAUUUAAUUUUGAUGCUUUUUGUUUAAAACACAUAUUUAAAUUUUAAAUUAUCAGAAAUAAAAAAAAUAUAUAAAUAUUUAAU
rnacentral:lncRNA from 1 species